UACGUAGGGUGCAGGCGUUAAUCGGAAUUACUGGGCGUAAAGCGUGCGCAGGCGGUUUGCUAAGACAGGUGUGAAAUCCCCGGGCUUAACCUGGGAACUGCAUUGGUGACUGCAAGGCUUGAGUGUGUCAGAGGGAGGUGGAAUUCCGCGUGUAGCAGUGAAAUGCGUAGAUAUGCGGAGGAACACCGAUGGCGAAGGCAGCCUCCUGGGAUAACACUGACGCUCAUGCACGAAAGCGUGGGGAGCAAACAGG
rnacentral:rRNA from 1 species